ACUAAGAUCAUAGGGUGCAAAUUAAGAAUGAUACAUACAUUAGGGGUGUAAAAUGCACACACUAAACUCUUUUGCUUUGCGUAUGACGAACGGACGCCUAAAUUCCUUCUAGCGGGUCGGACCGGCAACCCGUGAUCCAAAAUUAGACCCUUUUCUCCGGCCAAAUUCACCAGUUACUGUAAUCUUAGCUCGAACCAAAUUUCCGAGCAAAGCUAGAUGCAAGUAGUGCUACAUAAGCAAUGGAAUCAACUGUUGCCCUGGGGAACAGUAAUGUGGAGCUUCGAGAUGAUAUGGAAUUUGAUUCACAUGAAGCAGCAUAUGAAUUCUACAAAGAAUAUGCAAAAUCGCAGGGGUUUGGCACUGCCAAAUUGAGUAGUCGUCGUUCUAGGGCAUCAAAAGAGUUUAUUGAUGCAAAGUUUUCCUGCAUUAGAUAUGGUAACAAGCAGCAGUCUGAUGAUGCAAUCAACCCUAGACCUUCUCCUAAGAUAGGUUGUAAAGCUAGUAUGCACGUGAAGAGAAGGUCGACGAGUGGAAAGUGGUACAUUCAUAGUUUCAUAAAAGAACACAACCAUGAGCUUUUACCAUCUCAAGUGCACUUCUUCAGAAGCCACAGAAAUGUUGAUCCGCUUAACAAUGAUGCAAAAGUUCGAAGGAAAAAGAUGUUGGCUGGUAUAUCAAAACAGUACGGUGCAUACCAGUUCUCUGGUAAUCUGGAGAAUCUUUUCAGGAACCAACAUGACAGAGGUCGAAGUUUGACUUUAGAAGGAGGAGAUGCUCAGGUUUUGCUUGAACUUUUUGUGCACAUGCAGGAAGAGAAUCCAAAGUUUUUCUAUGCUGUAGAUUUAAACGAGGAGCAUCGGUUGAGAAAUGUUUUCUGGGUUGACGCCAAAGGCAUGGAUAAUUAUUCCAACUUUGGUGACGUGGUGUCAUUUGAUACUACAUACUUCACAAACAAAUAUAAAAUACCUUUGGUCCUCUUCAUUGGAGCAAACCAUCAUGUUCAACCCACCUUACUAGGUUGUGCACUAAUUGCUGAUGAGACAGUGCAUACAUUUGUAUGGUUGAUGCGGACUUGGUGCCUGGCAAUGGGUGGACGAGGUCCAAGAAUCUUGUUGUCUGAUCAAAAUGACAACAUCAAAGCUGCUGUUGGAGCAAUCUUUCCAGAUACCCAACACUAUUUUAGCCUGUGGAGUAUAUUGGAGAAGAUCCCAAGGCGUCUCGAUUUCAGCAUGUGGCAUGAAACAUUUAUGGCAAAAUUUAGUAAGUGCAUAUAUAGGUCAUGGACUGAAGAGCAAUUUGAACACAGAUGGUGGAAGUUGAUCGAAAAGUUCAAUCUUAGAGAAGACGAGUGGGUCCAAUCAUUAUAUGAAGAUCGCAAGCUUUGGGUUCCUAUUUUUAUGAGGGAUGUCUCUUUUGCCAGCUUAUCUAUGGCUUCAAGAACCGAAAGCAUAAACUCUUUCUUUGACAAAUAUGUCCAGAGUGAAACGUCUCUUAGAGAUUUUAUUGGACAACAUAAGCUAAUUCUUGAAGACUGGUAUGAAGAGGAAGCCAAAGCUAGUUUUGAUGCAUGGCAUGAGAUGCCUGAGCUUAAGUCUCCUUCUCCGUUCGAAAAACAGAUGUUGCUUAUUUACACACAUGAAAUAUUCAAGAAGUUCCAAGAUGAAGUAUUAGGAGCCGCUGCAUGCCAUCUAAAAAAAGAAUCAGAAGAGGGCACAUCUAUAACAUAUGCUGUCAAAGAUUUUGAUGCAAAUCAGGACUUCAUGGUGGAGUGGGAUGCUCCAAGGUCGGACAUAUACUGCUCAUGCCAUUCAUUUGAGUACAAAGGUUACCUUUGUAGACAUGCUAUUGUGGUUCUUCAAAUGUCUGGUGUCUUCAAUAUUCCUUCCAAGUAUAUAUUGCAACGCUGGACCAAUGCUGCCACAAGCAGGCAUUCCAUAAGUGAAAGACUAGAUGACGUGCAAGCUAAGGUCCGUCGUUUCAAUGACUUGUGUCGACGAGCAAUAAUAUUGGGUGAAGAGGGAUCAUUGACUCAGGAGAGCUACAACAUUGCGGUUGGUGCCAUUAAAGAAGCUUUAAGACAAUGUGCAACUGUGAAUGUCACUUCUGAGGCUAAUCUUAAAUCAGGCGGUACUGUGACUCUUGCUAUCCAUGGUGUUGAUGAAGUAUGUCAAGUAAACACUCUUGCAGCUAGAGAGCUAGUGCCUUACAGGAAAGCGGCCCAGACAAGCAAGGGUUCUAAAAGAGCAGAUCCUGGAAAUGAAAGGGAAAGAAACAACAGCACUUCUAAUAAAAAAGGAAAGGUACCUUUGGAACCAGAGAUUGCAAGCAGUGCACAAGGAGUCUUUCACCAAAUGGAUAUGCCUGGUAGCCUGGAUUAUCCUACCAGAUUCCUUACAACACUGUUAAGAGGUGGUGACAUGAACAGAAGAAGUGUGGAAUUGCUUGGAGAGAUGCUGGAGGACCAAAAUUAAAGGGCCGUAUAUCAAGUAUUGGCGGAGGAACAAUUUAUGUUUUUUAAUUGGGCUGUUCCUCUCAAAAUAGAAAAGGAUGGAGAUGUGGUGCGGAAACUGAGAAAAAUGGGGCGUUCUAAUGUGAUAAACGGUGGCAGCUGACGACAGCUUGGCAGGGCGAAAUUCUUUUGCCGUAGAACUUCCGCCGGCCCCAACCCAUGACUCUAACUGUGUUUCAAGAUUUAUUUAUGAAACCCGGCUAAGUAAAUUUGGAUGCAAAUCGUCACUGCAAAUGACAUGAGAAUUGCAAAUCAUCACUACUAGCCACAAGUUUCACCUCUGAAAUCUCCAUUAACAACUUUGCAAGAAAACAAAAAGUGCAAGCGCAUUAUGAAUCUUCAAAAUAGAUACCAGUAAAAGUAAACUCCUACAAUGAAAUUUUGUAUUAAAUUUGUAUUAAUAUUUUAUGAAAGUUGUUGCAAUGCUAUUGUAGUUGUAUUAAAUUUCAUCCAUAUUCCAAGCGAGAUUCAAAUUGUAUGAAAGUUGUAUACAAUGUUGUUCUAGUUAUAUUAAACU